UAUUUUCAAAUUGUCCUUCAUAGUAGCCAAAAUGAAUUUUGCUUUCCAAUCAGGGUCUGCCUUCAAUUGUUCAAGGUACCUAUUUGUCAAGAAAAUAUAGUUGCAAUGUCUAUUAUUUUGGCUACGUGUGCAUGUAUGCUCUGGCAUGUAAGACUUCACCUGCACUGUCUCAUUCGAAUUGAGCUUUGAGGCCCAAAUCUUCCAAUUACAUCCCACUUUGCAAACUCCUUGAGCUCGUUUUCUAUCGUUACACUUGAACUUCACAUUGUAACCAUUGAGAGCACCAUACGUUCUCACGGCAAUCCGAAACUCUUCCAUUGACCGAAAUUGUAGUCCAACCUCAAACUGCGGAUUCGUCAUAUCUAUCUCAGCCAUAAAUUCUGGGAAUCGAUUACCAACCUCUUUGUUGGAUGAACAAGCCAAUAAUAUCUCCUCGCUCGAUGGAUACUCCAAUUCAUCAUCUUCCACCUCCCCUACACUGAUCAAUACUCCUUCAUUUCAUCCUUCAUUCAAGUCAGAUCCAAUUUCGAUGCCAUCUGUCACAUUACGAUCAUACAAGAAAUCGUCUUCCUCUGAAGCUAUGUCAACCUCGGAAUGGACGAAAUCAGG
rnacentral:lncRNA from 1 species